GGUCAAGCUACAAAGGGCGCAUGGUGAAGAGCCGAUGAAGGACGUGAUAAGCUGCGAUAAGCUUCGGGUAGGCGCACAUAGCCUGAGAUCCGAAGAUCUCCGAAUGAGGAAACUCACAUGGGAAACCCCAUGUAUCAUUAAGUGAAUACAUAGCUUAAUGAAGGUAACCCAGGGAACUGAAACAUCUAAGUACCUGGAGGAAGAGAAAGAAAAAUCGAUUUUCUUAGUAGCGGCGAGCGAAAGGGAAAGAGCCCAAACCGGAAACUUGUUUCCGGGGUUGUGGACAUAACAUAAAAGUGGAGGCUAUUGUAACUGAAGAGAACUGGAAAGUUCCACCGUAGAAGGUAAUAGUCCUGUAAGUGAAACGAGAAGACCACGAGUUAUGAUCCAGAGUACCACGAGACACGUGAAACCUUGUGGGAAGCAGGGAGGACCACCUCCCAAGGCUAAAUACUACCUGAUGACCGAUAGUGAAGCAGUACCGUGAGGGAAAGGUGAAAAGAACCCCGGGAGGGGAGUGAAAUAGAACCUGAAACCGUGUGCCUACAACCGCUCAGAGCCCCUUAUGAGGGUGAUGAGGUGCUUUUUGUAGAACGAGCCAACGAGUUACGGUAUGUAGCAAGGUUAAGUACUUAAGGUACGGAGCCGAAGGGAAACCGAGUCUGAAUAGGGCGACUAGUUGCAUGCCGUAGACCCGAAACCGGGUGACCUAUCCAUGGCCAGGUUGAAGCGAGGGUAAAACCUCGUGGAGGACCGAACCACGUUGCUGUUGAAAAAGCAUGGGAUGAGCUGUGGAUAGCGGAGAAAUUCCAAUCGAACCCGGAGAUAGCUGGUUCUCUCCGAAAUAGCUUUAGGGCUAGCGUCGAGUAUGAGUAGUGGAGGUAGAGCACUGAAUGGGCUAGGGGGCAUAGCGCUUACCGAACCUUAUCAAACUCCGAAUGCCACAUACUUUGAGCUCGGCAGUCAGACUACGAAUGAUAAGAUCCGUGGUCAAAAGGGAAACAGCCCAGAUCGUCAGCUAAGGUCCCAAAGUGUAAGUUAAGUGGGAAAGGAUGUGAGAUUUCUAAGACAACUAGGAUGUUGGCUUAGAAGCAGCCAUUCAUUAAAAGAGUGCGUAAUAGCUCACUAGUCGAGAGAUCUUGCGCCGAAAAUGUAACGGGGCUAAACUUACCACCGAAGCUACGGGCUUGAACUUAGUUCAAGCGGUAGGAGAGCGUCGUAACCGGGCUGAAGUCGUACCGUAAGGAGCGGUGGACUGGUUACGAGUGAGAAUGUUGGCAUCAGUAGCGAGAUGUGGGUGAGAAUCCCACAGGCCGAAAACCUAAGGUUUCCUCAGGAAGGUUCGUCCGCUGAGGGUUAGUCGGGACCUAAGCCGAGGCCGAAAGGCGUAGGUGAUGGACAACUGGUUGAUAUUCCAGUACCACUACCAUCGUUAUUAUCGAUGGCGUGACGCAGGAGGAUAGUGUGUGCUAGCUAUUGGAUGCUAGUCUAAGCGUUUAGGCAGUGAGAGUAGGCAAAUCCGCUCUCAUAAUGCUGAGGCGUGAUGGGGAAGGUUCUACGGAACCGAAGUACAUGAUUCCACGCUGCCAAGAAAAGCGUCUAGAGAGAGAAGUAGUGCCCGUACCGCAAACCGACACAGGUAGGUGAGGAGAGAAUCCUAAGGCCGGCGGAAGAAUUACAGUUAAGGAACUCGGCAAAUUGACCCCGUAAGUUCGCGAGAAGGGGUGCCUACGAGAGUAGGCCGCAGAGAAUAGGCCCAAGCAACUGUUUAGCAAAAACACAGGUCUCUGCUAAAGCGUAAGCUGAUGUAUAGGGGCUGACGCCUGCCCGGUGCUGGAAGGUUAAGGGGAACACUUAGCGCAAGCGAAGGUGUGAACUUAAGCCCCAGUAAACGGCGGCCGUAACUAUAACGGUCCUAAGGUAGCGAAAUUCCUUGUCAGGUAAGUUCUGACCCGCACGAAUGGCGUAAUGACUUGGGCACUGUCUCAACUGUAAAUCCGGCGAAGUUGUAGUGCGAGUGAAGAUGCUCGCUACCCGCGAUUGGACGGAAAGACCCCGUAGAGCUUUACUGUAGCUUAGCAUUGAGUUUUGGUAUUGUCUGUACAGGAUAGGUGGGAGACUAGGAAACCAGGGCGUCAGCCUUGGUGGAGUCAACCUUGGGAUACCACCCUGACAGUACUGAAAUUCUAACUGGCGGCCAUGAAUCUGGUCACAGGACAUUGUUAGGUGGGCAGUUUGACUGGGGCGGUCGCCUCCUAAAAAGUAACGGAGGCGCCCAAAGGUUCCCUCAGAACGGUCGGAAAUCGUUCGAAGAGUGCAAAGGCAGAAGGGAGCCUGACUGCGACACCCACAAGUGGAGCAGGGACGAAAGUCGGGCUUAGUGAUCCGGUGGUACCUCGUGGGAGGGCCAUCGCUCAACGGAUAAAAGCUACCUCGGGGAUAACAGGCUGAUCUCCCCCAAGAGUCCACAUCGACGGGGAGGUUUGGCACCUCGAUGUCGGCUCGUCGCAUCCUGGGGCUGAAGUAGGUCCCAAGGGUUGGGCUGUUCGCCCAUUAAAGCGGCACGCGAGCUGGGUUCAGAACGUCGUGAGACAGUUCGGUCCCUAUCCGUCGCGGGCGUAGGAAAUUUGAGAGGAGCUGUCCUUAGUACGAGAGGACCGGGAUGGACUGACCU
rnacentral:rRNA from 1 species